rnacentral:rRNA from 1 species
AUGUGCAUCUUCCUCCCGGACGCCCACGACGGUCUGUUGGGGCUGCUGGACACGAUAGCGUCCCGGCCUGGGUUCUUGCACGACCACUUGCCGGAGCAGCGGAUCGACCUUGGCGAGUUCCGGGUGCCAAAGUUCAAGUUGUCCUUCCACAGCAGCGUCGUCACCGUCCUCAAGAAGCUGGGGCUCGAGCUGCCGUUCUGCCAGGAGGGCGACCUAUCUGACAUGGUGGAGGACGACGGCUCUGGCUUGCCGAUAGUAGCGGAGGACGUCAUCCACAAGGCCGUCCACGAGGUAAACGAGGAAGGUACUGAAGCCGCCGCCGUCACUAUGGUCAUUGCGCCUUCUGGAAGCGCAGCUGGGGGCUCGUGGCCACCACCUCCACAGGUGGAUUUCAUCGCCGACCAUCCGUUUGCCUACUACAUAGUGGAGGAGGUGACCGGCGCAGUUGUCGCACGUCCUCGACCCCUCCAAGAAGUA